rnacentral:rRNA from 1 species
UACGUAGGUGGCAAGCGUUGUCCGGAAUGACUGGGCGUAAAGGGUGCGUAGGUGGUGAUGCAAGUUAGCAGCGAAAUUCCGGGGCUUAACUCCGGCGCUACUGCUAAGACUGUAUUGCUUGAGUGCAGGAGGGGUAAGUGGAAUUCCUAGUGUAGCGGUGGAAUGCGUAGAUAUUAGGAAGAACACCGGUGGCGAAGGCGACUUACUGGACUGUAACUGACACUGAGGCACGAAAGCGUGGGGAGCAAACAGG